GCUUUACUUUUCUAAAGCCAGAGAGAGAAUGGGGGUGGAGGGAGCAGGGAGGGACCCACGCAGCACAAUGUAGACGGAGUCCAGAUCAGCAUUAUUUCUCAAAUGGGUUCAACGGAUUUUUUUGCAACUCCUACGUUAUUUGGGGAAUUAUCAAUGAUUGAACACUAUAAAUUUCUCCCGGUUGUUUUCCCAGAAGGGUUGACGAAAUUAAUGUGGUUCUUCUCUCUGGCUUUGCAGGUUCUACCCAGUAGUGAACUGCAUUAUUUGUUAGGUUCCUUGUAAUGGCUUCAGUGACAUUGAGAACCUUGAAGGACCAGAGAUUUUUUUUGAGGAUGAACUGGUGUGUAUCCUAAAUAUGGAAGGAAGAAAAGCUUUGACCUGGAAAUACUACGCAAAAAAAAUUCUUUACUACCUGCGGCAACAGAAAAUUUUAAAUAAUCUUAAGGCCUUUCUUCAGCAGCCAGAUGACUAUGAGUCAUAUCUUGAAGGUGCUGUAUAUAUUGACCAGUACUGCAAUCCUCUCUCUGACAUCAGCCUCAAAGACAUCCAGGCCCAAAUUGACAGCAUCGUGGAGCUUGUUUGCAAAACCCUUCGGGGCAUAAACAGUCGCCACCCCAGCUUGGCCUUCAAGGUGAAUCAUCCAUGAUAAUGGAAAUAGAACUCCAGAGCCAGGUACUGGAUGCCAUGAACUAUGUCCUUUAUGACCAACUGAAGUUCAAGGGGAAUCGAAUGGAUUACUAUAAUGCCCUAAACUUAUAUAUGCAUCAGGUUUUGAUUCGCAGAACAGGAAUCCCAAUCAGCAUGUCUCUGCUCUAUUUGACAAUUGCUCGGCAAUUGGGAGUCCCACUGGAGCCUGUCAACUUCCC
rnacentral:sRNA from 1 species